GCGGCGCCUCCUCUACGUAACGUUCACUUUCCCUGACUCUGUAUAUUUGGCAUGGAUGGAGACAGCAGAGCCGUGAAGAAAUGAAAAGAGCGCGAAAAGGACAAACAACAAUCCUUCAUUGUUGGUCAACACCAACAACUAAAAAAAAGGAAAUAUCUUGACCAAAAAGAGGUAAAAUAGUCUACCUGUCCUGUUAAGUUAGCUGAUGAUUUGUGACUGGAGUUGGUUUGAGCUUGUCCUGUGAGGUACAGCCAGAGAGUGUCGGGGAUGUACUGUGUAGGACCAAUGUCAGUUUUCACUGAAUUGUAACUUAAAGGGCUGUUUGCUGACUUUGCUCCAAUACACAGUGAUGGAUGGCGGCGUAGUUAAACUGCAUUUCUCGGGGAACCGGGCAGGUCGUAAUGUCGCUGUUUUCCACAUCAAAUAUCUUUUCAGUAGUGAAGCUAUUUUACUGAUCAAACAACGCAAUACCAUACACAGAAGCUACAUUUUUCCAGGCAUUUCUAAAUCCUGAAGGAACAGGAAUGUCUGCGUCGGCCUGAAGCGGUAACCAUGGUGACAACAGACGCUCUGCUGCAGCAGGGUGGCUGCGGAGCACGCAGCCGGUGACAGUGACAGAGGAGGGGAAGAGAAGUACUUCAUCUCGUGAAUCUUGACAAAAUUUGGGAAAUACCUGAAUGUAUUUAUUUCCUCAAAUUGUUCUUUUACCUUACUGGUCAUUUUUAACCGGGCUGAUACCAUUUUAACAUUAACUAAGCAUUUUUUUAUACCAGGUUCAAGAAUAUGAUUGCUGAACAGGCCAUGAAAGAGAGGCAGGUGACCAGAGAGGGAGAAGUACAGAUGAGGAGAGAGAGAGAGGAGGUGACAGAGGAGGUGCAACAGUUGAGCAAGAGAGAGGAGGAGGAGGUGACAGAGGAAGUCCAGGUGAUGGAGGAUCAUCAGGUGACCAAAGAGAGGGAGAGAGAGCACAGGGAAAGGCAGCACAGGAGGCACAAAUGACCAGGUAACAUACCUUAGCCCUUGUACUGUGUUAGCUUUCUCGAUAUAUUUCUUUUCAUAGAUAGUUGACAUAAACCCAAAAUCAAUUAAGUGGAAGCUGCUACGGUCUUGCUAGCUAGUACUUAAACACAAUAGGAAUUAAUUGGUCAUUGUUGCAUAAAUACAUAAGUACACAGCUGCAACAACUUCAAGUAAAUCACCAAUGUAUUUCUAAUACAGACAUGCCAAAUUACCACGACUCCUUUUACAAAGGUAAACGAUUCAAUAAAUACCAAUAAACAGGCACAGAGUUUAACCCCCCCAAUGGAAGACCCAAAGUUACGCCCUUGGUCCUGAGGAUCAGAAAAGCAAGCUAAUCUGCCAGGCAUAUGAUGGAGCCAGUGUGAUGAGGGGUGCCUCUGCAGGUGUUUAGAGGAAAAUCAAAGAUGUGUACCCAAAUGCCCACUAUAUCCACUGCUAUGCACACCAACUCAACCUGAUCAUGCAGCAGGCCACCUCUCACAUUUCCAAGGUGAGAAUUUUUUUCUGACCUGGGUGGAUUUGCCAGCUUUUUUUCCAGAUCACCCAAGCGUACAGCUGUUCUUGAUAAAAUGGUGGCCCAUAGACUGCCAACAUCCAGCAAUGUCAGAUGGAACUUUCACAGUCGAGCCAUCAACACCGUUUGAGCACAGAGAGGAUCUCUUUCAGUGUUUUGAGAACAUACAAGACUCAGGUGACUUUGAUGCCAGUACCAUCAGAGAGGCAGGAGCCAUGACCAUGCUGCUGGAACAUCAGGACUUUAAGUUCUUUCUGGAACUUUUUCACCACAUCGUGCCACAUGUGGACCUCCUCUAUGCCAAGCUCCAGAAGAAGAACAUAGAUGCAGUCCACAUAAAAGUGAGCAUCUAGCAGUUUGAACAGGACAUGGAAAACAUCAGAAAUUCUCUCCAUUCCAUGGGUGAGCAAAGAAGUGGCUGUCCGACAGCAAAGAGGCGUCGGUCACUCAGUUCAGAGGAUCGUCAAAGGGUUGCAGAAGAGAUCUGCAACACCUUUCUGGGACACACCAAGGAGCGCUUCUCCUUCACCGACCGUCUCGUCUGUACAACUUUGUUGCAGGGGGACAGGUUUGAAGAACAUCACGGGUCAUUUCCUGAAGAGGCACUGCAACGCACUUUGAAGGCCUACCCGAUGCUGAAUGAAUUAGAUAUGAUAUAGAUAUUCGAAUUAAAGUCUCCCCACUACAGAGUAUAAAUGUUGCUUUGUCUAGUAAACGAGUUGGUGGUGUCUUUAAGUUUAUUUUUAAUUCAACCUCCAAACUUGGAGGCUCAUUUGAGACUCCUGUAAUGACACCACCUCCAUCUGCUCCAUCACAGACUGACCAGCCCACCUGCUGGUCUUCUGUGCAUCACCUGAGCCUUAUUUUCAAUAUUUAGAAAUUACAGGCCUUUCUCAAGCCCAGGCCCGGAGUGGCUGAUCGGGAGGACUGGGACAUUUCCCGGUGGCUCGGUCUGAUGUUUGGGCUGCGAGGGCCGGUGUUCAGUCAUGCCACUGGAUUGAUCAUUCCGCUGCUGCCGCUGUUCCUGUGCCGCCUCCAUUGGCAGCUCUUUUUUUUUUUUUUUUUUGUUGCAGACGCACCGUGACGUAACACGUCCGUGCACACGGUCAGAGGUGUUUGAAACAUAUAUGUCUAUGGUUUGAAAGAUGAAAACAGGAAGAGCAAAGGUGGUGUGUAGUGGUGACCCAUUUUAUUUUUUAUCAUUAAAAGACAGUAAAUACACAAAGCCCACAAUUGACAGGGAAUAGGAAGAGAUAAAAACAUUUACUGUCAUUACUGAUGUGGUCCAGUUUUAAUAAAGUUCAUGCAACUUUUAUAAAAUGAUGAAAGUGAAUAACUGGUAUUUGUGUGAUCUGUGUUUGAUAGCUGUCUUUUCUCCUGUCAUCCAGAUGUUCAGAGGGAGGUGAUGCCACAUCUGGUCCAGCUGAUGGAAGGUCUUGAAGUUCUCUGACUGAAGAUGAUCCUCUGACUGGAUUUAAGGUUCAGAUGCUCAGGAACAAACUCCACCAAUGAGCCAACAGGGAAGCUUUAGGAUUAUUAAAUGUUGCUAUGAAGGUUUCGCUGUUUUUCUUUGUGAAUGCAAUGUGCUCCAACUGAAACUUGAAUUAGAACGUAGCAGUAAAUCCUUCCAUCUGACAGGAUUUAGUUGCAUUAAUAACCUCAUAACAUUCUAAUUUUUAUCCCAGUCUUGGUUGGAAAUAGAAUCUCUGUAUUGAUUCAGGUAAAAACUGAACUUCACAGCAUGUUGGAGCAAAACAAGCAGAUGAAAAGUGUGAUGGUGUUGGGUUGUCAGACCGUAAUGUUGCAGCUCAAAGCAGCUUUUCUAUCUCAGUUCAUUCUGACAUUCAGCUCUGAAUCUACAGCAGAUCCAGUUGAUGGUGAUCCAUGCUGUGGAAGUCUCACAUCUCCUCAUUUAAUUACACUGUUUUUUUCACCAACACUUUAUUUAAUAAAAGUCCCAUUUAGUUUUUAUGAGGAAUGUGACGUUUUAAUUUCUCUGUGAAUAACUGCAGUCUAGUGGAACAGCUGGAGUUGUAACAUCUGUCCUGAUAUUGAUCAUGAAGUACUGAUCAGAAUACUUUUGGUUAGCAGUCAUCCCUGAAGUUUUACAUGAAAAAAUCUUUACUUGUGUUGUGAACUUUGGUAAGAAGCAGAAACUUUAGCGUUGCCAUGGAUACAUGGAUGUUAAAUUCAGCCCAUGUGUCAUUUUGGGAUGCAGUCCAGCAGAUGACUUUGUUUUUACUGACAGCUACCAUUCAGUCUGAGAUACUAAGAAUAAAUAAAUGUGCAUAAUGUGGAAAUGAA